rnacentral:rRNA from 1 species
CAAAAAGCUCGUAGUUGGAUUUCUCGCUGGAGCGACCGGUCCGCCCUCAUCGGGUGUGCACUCGCGUCGGCUCUUGCGAUCCUGGGGAGAGGUUCGAUUGUCGUUCACUCGAUGGCCGGAUUCAAUCCCCUCUUUUACUGUGAACAAAUUAGAGUGCUCCACGCAAGCAAUGCGCCUGGAUAUCUCAGCAUGGAAUAAUAAGAUAGGACUCGGUUACUAUUUUGUUGGUUUGCAUACCCGAGUAAUGAUUAAUAGGGAUAGUUGGGGGUAUUCGUAUUUAAUUGUCAGAGGUGAAAUUCUUGGAUUUAUGAAAGACGAACUACUGCGAAAGCAUUUACCAAGGAUGUUUUCAUUAAUCAAGAACGAAAGUUAGGGGAUCGAAGACGAUCAGAUACCGUCGUAGUCUUAACCAUAAACUAUGCCGACUAGGGAUUGGGGGACGUUGAUUUGAUGACUCCCUCAGCACCUUAUGAGAAUCAAAGUCUUUGGGUUCCGGGGGGAGUAUGGUCGCAAGGCUG